ACCUGCGGAGAAAUGUGUGUGGCCAUUAUCACGUUUCCUUCUUGCCUCCUGCCCUAUACCCAGUAGCCCCCUCAACUGGAAAACAUGGGAAUUGGAGAGGAAUGUGGCCAGUGUCCUGGUGGCGGCCGCCUGGGGGCUGCCUAUAUGAAACGUUGACGUUGAUGCGUUGCUUUGUAAUUGCUCGAGCAACUUUUCAUUUAUUCCACAAACAUUUGAAUAUUAUAGGAAUGUUUUCGUGUCUCUACAAGUAGAACAUAAGUGAUAGUGAAGCUGUCUCGUGUUGAACCACUGCUGUAAUAAUAAAUGUAUUGCUUUGCUCACA
rnacentral:lncRNA from 1 species